GAGUUUGAUCAUGGCUCAGGAUGAACGCUAGCGGGAGGCCUAACACAUGCAAGCCGAGCGGUAUUUAUUCUUCGGAAUAGAGAGAGCGGCGUACGGGUGCGUAACACGUGUGCAACCUACCUUUAUCAGGGGAAUAGCCUUUCGAAAGGAAGAUUAAUACUCCAUAAUAUAUGAACAGGCAUCUGAUUAUAUUGAAAACUCCGGUGGAUAGAGAUGGGCACGCGCAAGAUUAGAUAGUUGGUGAGGUAACGGCUCACCAAGUCUGUGAUCUUUAGGGGUCCUGAGAGGGAGAUCCCCCACACUGGUACUGAGACACGGACCAGACUCCUACGGGAGGCAGCAGUGAGGAAUAUUGGACAAUGGGUGAAAGCCUGAUCCAGCCAUCCCGCGUGAAGGAUGACGGUCCUAUGGAUUGUAAACUUCUUUUGUAUAGGGAUAAACCAUUCUACGUGUAGAAUGCUGAAGGUACUAUACGAAUAAGCACCGGCUAACUCCGUGCCAGCAGCCGCGGUAAUAC
rnacentral:rRNA from 1 species